CAGCAGCCGCGGUAAUACGAAGGGUGCAAGCGUUACUCGGAAUUACUGGGCGUAAAGCGUGCGUAGGUGGUGGUUUAAGUCCGUUGUGAAAGCCCUGGGCUCAACCUGGGAAUUGCAGUGGAUACUGGAUCACUAGAGUGUGGUAGAGGAUAGUGGAAUUUCCGGUGUAGCAGUGAAAUGCGUAGAGAUCGGAAGGAACACCAGUGGCGAAGGCGACUUUCUGGUCUGUAACUGACGCUGAUGUGCGAAAGCGUGGGGAUCAAACAGGAUUAGAGACCCCGGUAGUCCCUGUCUCUUAUAC
rnacentral:rRNA from 1 species